CCUACGGGAGGCAGCAGUGGGGAAUAUUGGGCAAUGGAGGAAACUCUGACCCAGCGACGCCGCGUGCGGGAUGAAGGCCUUCGGGUUGUAAACCGCUUUCAGUAGGGAAGAAGCGAAAGUGACGGUACCUACAAAAGAAGCACCGGCUAACUAUGUGCCAGCAGCCGCGGUAAUACAUAGGGUGCAAGCGUUGUCCGGAAUUAUUGGGCGUAAAGAGCUCGUAGGUCGUUUGUUACGUCGGAUGUGAAAACCUGAGGCUCAACCUCAGGCCUGCAUUCGAUACGGGCAAACUAGAGUUUGGUAGGGGAGACUGGAAUUCCUGGUGUAGCGGUGGAAUGCGCAGAUAUCAGGAGGAACACCAAUGGCGAAGGCAGGUCUCUGGGCCAAUACUGACACUGAGGAGCGAAAGUCUGGGGAGCGAACAGGAUUAGAUACCCUGGUAGUCCAGACCGUAAACGGUGGGCACUAGUUGUGGGAACCUUCCACGGUUUCUGCGACGCAGCUAACGCAUUAAGUGCCCCGCCUGGGGAGUACGAUCGCAAGAUUAAAACUCAAAUGAAUUGACGGCUGAGAGUGCGACGACGACGACGAGGGAGGUAGG
rnacentral:rRNA from 1 species